rnacentral:rRNA from 1 species
AUUGAACGCUGGCGGCAUGCCUUACACAUGCAAGUCGAACGGCAGCACGGGGCAACCUGGUGGCGAGUGGCGAACGGGUGAGUAAUGCAUCGGAACGUGCCAUUGAGUGGGGGAUAACGUAGCGAAAGUUGCGCUAAUACCGCAUAUUCUGUGAGCAGGAAAGCAGGGGACCGCAAGGCCUUGCGCUCUUUGAGCGGCCGAUGUCAGAUUAGCUAGUUGGUGAGGUAACGGCUUACCAAGGCGACGAUCUGUAGCGGGUCUGAGAGGAUGAUCCGCCACACUGGAACUGAGGCACGGUCCAGACUCCUACGGGAGGCAGCAGUGGGGAAUUUUGAACAAUGGGCGCAAGCCUGAUCCAGCCAUGCCGCGUGAGUGAAGAAGGCCUUCGGGUUGUAAGCUCUGUGGGGAGAGACGAAGAAAGACCGUGAAGAGCGGGCCGUUGACGGUAUCUCCUUAGCAAGCACCGGCUAACUCCGUGCCAGC